rnacentral:rRNA from 1 species
AUUGAACGCUGGCGGCAUGCCUUACACAUGCAAGUCGAACGGUAACAGGUCUUCGGAUGCUGACGAGUGGCGAACGGGUGAGUAAUACAUCGGAACGUGCCCGAGAGUGGGGGAUAACGAGGCGAAAGCUUUGCUAAUACCGCAUACGAUCUCAGGAUGAAAGCAGGGGACCGCAAGGCCUUGCGCUCACGGAGCGGCCGAUGGCAGAUUAGGUAGUGGGUGGGAUAAAAGCUUACCAAGCCGACGAUCUGUAGCUGGUCUGAGAGGACGACCAGCCACACGGGGACUGAGACACGGCCCAGACUCCUACGGGAGGCAGCAGUGGGGAAUUUUGGACAAUGGGCGCAAGCCUGAUCCAGCCAUGCCGCGUGCAGGAUGAAGGCCUUCGGGUUGUAAACUGCUUUUGUACGGAACGAAAAGACUUCUUCUAAUAAAGGGGGUCCAUGACGGUACCGUAAGAAUAAGCACCGGCUAACUACGUGCCAGCCGCCGCAGUAAAAC